rnacentral:sRNA from 1 species
CAUGCCCCUUAUACGCUGGGCUACACACGUGCUACAAUGGGUAGAACAGAGAGUCGCAAAGCUGUGAAGUGGAGCUAAUCUCAGAAAACUAUUCUUAGUUCGGAUUGUACUCUGCAACUCGAGUACAUGAAGUUGGAAUCGCUAGUAAUCGCGAAUCAGCAAUGUCGCGGUGAAUACGUUCUCGGGUCUUGUACACACCGCCCGUCACACCACGAGAGUUGGUUGCACCUGAAGUAGCAGGCCUAACCGUAAGGAGGGAUGCUCCGAGGGUGUGAUUAGCGAUUGGGGUGAAGUCGUAACAAGGUAUCCGUACGGGAACGUGCGGAUGGAUCACCUCCUUUCUAAGGAGUAUAAGUCUUUCUCUAUUCUAUUGGUAAUGUUCUUACAUUACUUCUGAACAUUGGAAACUAUAUAGUAGAACAAACAAGAAAAAAAUUAACUCUAACAAUUUCUUAGAGUUAGCUGUCAAAAAAUAGGUUAAAAUAAUUAAGGGCACACAAAGGAUGCCUAGGUAGUAAGAGCCGAUGAAGG